rnacentral:misc_RNA from 1 species
GCCGCGGCAGGAAGCAGGCGGGCGCUCCCCGGCCACAGGCCUGUUGUUCUCGGAAGGGAGAAAGCUGGACAUUUCCCCACGUAACUCCCAGCUCUGGGCCUAGAGUGCGUGCAUGGCGAAGUCCCCGGAGAACUCUACCCUGGAGGAGAUUCUGGGGCAGUAUCAACGGAGUCUCCGGGAACAUGCCAGCAGAAGCAUUCACCAACUGACAUGUGCCCUGAAAGAAGGCGAUGUCACUAUUGGAGAAGAUGCACCAAAUCUUUCUUUUAGCACCAGUGUGGGAAAUGAGGACGCCAGGACAGCCUGGCCCGAAUUACAACAGAGCCAUGCUGUUAAUCAGCUCAAAGAUUUGUUGCGCCAACAAGCAGAUAAGGAAAGUGAAGUAUCUCCGUCAAGAAGAAGAAAAAUGUCCCCCUUGAGGUCAUUAGAACAUGAGGAAACCAAUAUGCCUACUAUGCACGACCUUGUUCAUACUAUUAAUGACCAGUCUCAAUAUAUUCAUCAUUUAGAGGCAGAAGUUAAGUUCUGCAAGGAGGAACUCUCUGGAAUGAAAAAUAAAAUACAAGUAGUUGUGCUUGAAAACGAAGGGCUCCAGCAACAGCUAAAAUCUCAAAGACAAGAGGAGACACUGAGGGAACAAACACUUCUGGAUGCAUCCGGAAACAUGCACAAUUCUUGGAUUACAACAGGUGAAGAUUCUGGGGUGGGCGAAACCUCCAAAAGACCAUUUUCCCAUGACAAUGCAGAUUUUGGCAAAGCUGCAUCUGCUGGUGAGCAGCUAGAACUGGAGAAGCUAAAACUUACUUAUGAGGAAAAGUGUGAAAUUGAGGAAUCCCAAUUGAAGUUUUUGAGGAACGACUUAGCUGAAUAUCAGAGAACUUGUGAAGAUCUUAAAGAGCAACUAAAGCAUAAAGAAUUUCUUCUGGCUGCUAAUACUUGUAACCGUGUUGGUGGUCUUUGUUUGAAAUGUGCUCAGCAUGAAGCUGUUCUUUCCCAAACCCAUACUAAUGUUCAUAUGCAGACCAUCGAAAGACUGGUUAAAGAAAGAGAUGACUUGAUGUCUGCACUAGUUUCCGUAAGGAGCAGCUUGGCAGAUACGCAGCAAAGAGAAGCAAGUGCUUAUGAACAGGUGAAACAAGUUUUGCAAAUAUCUGAGGAAGCCAAUUUUGAAAAAACCAAGCACCCUUCACAAUAGCAAACGUAAACGAUGGAAUUGAUGGAAUCAACCGAAAUUGACGGAAUCAAUCUAAAUGUUCAUCACUGACAGAUUGUAUAAAGAAAAUGUGGAACAUGGACACCAUGGAAUAGUAUGCAGCCAUAAAAAGAAUGAGAUCCGAUCUUUUGCAGGAACAUGCAUGGAGCCGGAGACAGUUAUCCUUAGCAAACUAACGCAGGAACAGAAAGCCAAAUACUGCAUAUUCUUACGUAUAAGUGGGAGCUAAAUGAUAAGAACUUAUGAGCACAAAGUAGGAAACCACAGACAGUGGCAUCUCCUUGAGGAUAUAGGGUGGGAGCAGGGAGAGGAGCAGAAGAGAUCACUAUUGGGUACUGGGCUUAAUACCUGGGUGAUAAAAUAAUCUGUAUAACAAAACCCCGUGACAUGAGUUUGCCUAUGUAACAAACCUUCACAUGUACCCCCGAACCUAAAAUAAAAGUUAAAAAAAAA